GUCGAACGCUGGCGGCGUGCUUAACACAUGCAAGUCGAGCGGAAAGGCCACUCCGGUGGUACUCGAGCGGCGAACGGGUGAGUACACGUGAGUAAUCUGCCCUUGGCUUUGGGAUAGCCACCGGAAACGGUGAUUAAUACCGGAUAUGACCACUCUAGGCAUCUAGUGGUGGUGGAAAGUUUUUCGGCCAGGGAUGUGCUCGCGGCCUAUCAGCUUGAUGGUGAGGGAAUGGCUCACCAUGGCUUCGACGGGUAGCCGGCCUGAGAGGGUGACCGGUCACACUGGGACUUAGACACGGCCCAGACUCCUACGGGAGGCAGCAGUGGGGAAUAUUGGACAAUGGGCGGAAGCCUGAUCCAGCAACGCCGCGUGAGGGAUGACGGCCUUCGGGUUGUAAACCUCUUUCAGCAGGGACGAAGCGCAAGUGACGGUACCUGCAGAAGAAGCACCGGCCAACUACGUGCCAGCCGCCGCCGUAACAC
rnacentral:rRNA from 1 species